rnacentral:lncRNA from 1 species
UGCAGCGAGCGUUCACAGAAACAUUUAAGUUCCUCUUUUAAGAAGAGAAAUCCAACGUCUCCAUCACUCCUUCUCUGGCAAUGAUCCUGAUGCUCCACCCUUUUCUUCCUUCCCUGGUUUACUGCCCCUCGUUCUGCACAACCAUCACAUUCCUUCCACCCUCCUUCAUCCUGGUUUCUAAAACCGCAAACAAUCUCUCGCUUAGUGACGUUUUAAACGGAAGGAGCACUUGAGCAAGUUGAGACAAGGAUGAGUGCUUGGGUGGUCGAGCUGCACUGCUCCAGUGGAAGGUGUGUCCUUAGAAGACCCAUAGGUGUGGGCAACACACAAAUUCUAUCCACAGUGUUUGUCAAUUCUAUGGUUGGUGUCGUGUGUUUUGUGUGCACCACUUUUUAUCAUUUUUUAUACGAUUAUCUCACAUUGUACUAUAACUGUUCACUUUCCAUCACACAGUGUUGUGCGAAUGGGUGGGUGGUUGUGGUUACAAUUUCGAUAACAUCUCCUUUCCUUUUACUCUCAACAGAGAUCGUGGUUCGCUUACUGCAGUCGUGCUUCUGAAGCCACACGUGAUCUGAAGAACACAGUCGUGAACAGUACUCCCGACUUUUCCCAGCACGUACCUACGAGAAUCCACAAGCAUUCUUGACUUUCCCAGCACGUAUCGCAUCCUGUCGAAAAUGGGUGCUACAUUUUCCUUGGGUGCUGCAAAGUUGACGCAGAGGAAUAUCAAGGAGGACACCAGAGGAGUUCUCAAUGAACUGAGGAAAGUGAGCAUUGAGCAAAUACAAAUCAUCAAGAAGCAUCGACACCAAGAUUCGUUUCAACAAUUGAAAUGUGAUUUAAAAGGUUUUACAAAUGUAAACAAGGAUUUAGGCAAACAGGCGAGGCAGCACAAAUCGUUCGAAGACCACCUGGGUAGAAGACAACAUGAAGUUCAGGAGGACCUCCAUUCGUGGAAAUUUUGGCUAUCUACUAAAUACCUGCAAGAUAGUUUGGCCAAGGUCGAAAAGAUGAAAAACGAUGUCUCUGAAGAUAGAGAUAUCCUAAUAAAGCUGCAGGCUCACCUUCAUGAGGUUCAGGAACGAGCAGAGCGCUUAAGAGAGAACAGCGCGCUCGAUAUCAAUUUGAAAAACAUGAUUCAGCAUCACAAUGACAUGAUCACACUUGUGGAAACGUACUGUGACGAGUAAGGGUUGUGGCGUGUAAUUUGUGCAUUAACAACUGUAACACACAAAGAUAUAGUCAAUAAAACUUGCUGUGCCAAAAUGUAUGUAUCUUUUUUCGCCACUAAAUAAGGUGCAAGUUAGGACCGUCCAAAGCUUUUGUUGAUAUGUUACCAUGACAAUAAAUAUUGCUUAUCAAAGUCGAGCUGUAUACAUACCGGUAGAAUGCAUUUCUGCUCUUUGGAAGGAAACAGACUCUUGGAAGAGAUCGUUCAUUCAUUUCAUGUACAGCUUAUGAUGGUCCAGAAGCUGGCCCUGGUGAUGGGAGGUGUGAUGCCAGCUAUCGAUGUCGCCUCCAGCUAAUGGGUGACGCGUCAACACAAGUCAGUAAAUAGCGGUGCCCAUUUUAAGGUGGUAGGGGACUGACAAGAUCCACGUGGAUCCGUUGAAACGCCUCCCUGGUGUUGAAAAGCGAUCAAGUGGUGCGACAGUAUGACGUUGGAUCUUGGAGCGUUGACAUUGAAGAAAUUGUUUGGACCAACGGCACACGUUGGCGUUGAUCUGUGGCCAGACGUAGCGCAUGGUGAUGAGUCGCUGGGUUGCUCAAAUACCCAGGUGUGCAAGUGAGUGAAGUGUCGAAGACCGUACGACGGAAUGCCCCAGGUACAAAAGGGCGUGACACAUGAGGGUAGUGUUUGUCCCUUGGAGUGAUACUUCACAAAAUGUAAGUGAACCUGCUGCAGACUGUAGACGAUGGAGCUCUGUGUCCUCCUGUUGUGCUGCUGCAUGUGCAUUAAAAUCGAUGGCCAGUGUGUUGGUAGCAGACAACGCCAAUAUCUUGAUGUGUGAGAGAAGGUCGGCCACCAAGUUCGUGAUUCCUUUGAUGUUCCGGAUGGCGGUGGUGAAUUGAGAGAUAUAACCGAGUUGGCGAAGUUUGCGAGGAGAG